AGAGUUUGAUCCUGGCUCAGAUUGAACGCUGGCGGCAGGCCUAACACAUGCAAGUCGAACGGUAGCACAGAGAGCUUGCUCUCGGGUGACGAGUGGCGGACGGGUGAGUAAUGUCUGGGAAACUGCCUGAUGGAGGGGGAUAACUACUGGAAACGGUAGCUAAUACCGCAUAACGUCGCAAGACCAAAGAGGGGGACCUUCGGGCCUCUUGCCAUCAGAUGUGCCCAGAUGGGAUUAGCUAGUAGGUGGGGUAACGGCUCACCUAGGCGACGAUCCCUAGCUGGUUUGAGAGGAUGACCAGCCACACUGGAACUGAGACACGGUCCAGACUCCUACGGGAGGCAGCAGUGGGGAAUAUUGCACAAUGGGCGCAAGCCUGAUGCAGCCAUGCCGCGUGUAUGAAGAAGGCCUUCGGGUUGUAAAGUACUUUCAGCGGGGAGGAAGGUGUUGUGGUUAAUAACCACAGCAAUUGACGUAC
rnacentral:rRNA from 1 species